AGAGCGAACGCUGGCGGCAGGCUUAACACAUGCAAGUCGAGCGGGCGUAGCAAUGCGUCAGCGGCAGACGGGUGAGUAACGCGUGGGAACGUACCUUUUGGUUCGGAACAACCCAGGGAAACUUGGGCUAAAUACCGGAUAAGCCCUUACGGGGAAAGAUUUAUCGCCGAAAGAUCGGCCCGCGUCUGAUUAGCUAGUUGGUGGGGUAACGGCCCACCAAGGCGACGAUCAGUAGCUGGUCUGAGAGGAUGAUCAGCCUCACUGGGACUGAGACACGGCCCAGACUCCUACGGGAGGCAGCAGUGGGGAAUAUUGGACAAUGGGCGCAAGCCUGAUCCAGCCAUGCCGCGUGGAUGAUGAAGGCCCUAGGGUUGUAAAGUCCUUUCGGCGGGGAAGAUAAUGACGGUACCGCAGAAGAAGCCCGGCUAACUCGUGCCAGGAGCCGC
rnacentral:rRNA from 1 species